rnacentral:lncRNA from 1 species
UGUUUUCACUCUUGCAGAACGUUCUCGUGUGCCCAGGGACACUCCUGUCCUGUGCGGCUUCCAGGAGGAGCCGAGUUUCCAGCUCUGCCCUCUAGAGCAGCACACUUGUCUGCUGCAGUCCUGGGGUUGGAUACAGACCCUCCCUCUGAGGGACAGCUCCUCCUCCCUCAGGCUUGAGGCAGAGUGACGGCGGCCCAGCUGCGCCCGAUGAGGAUGUCUGAGCAGGCUCCCAGGCGGGUCCUCCCAGAGUGAGGAGCUGUCCUGACCCAGUGGAGACCCCCGCGGAGGACGAGGAUCCAAACGAAAUAAAGCCGUGUGAACAUCAGACACGAGACGUCACUACUGGAACGGAGAGCGGAGAGGAGCAGCGACCCCUUGGAGCUGGCAGCACCCUGUUUACCUCGAGGAAGCUGCGGCGCAGGAACGGGGCGCCGGGCAGUGAGCGAGCAGCGCCCGGGCUGGAGGCUAGUCUUCUAAAUGCCAGGCCCCGCCGGGCUCGGGCCGUCCCGUCCACAGGUGCCCUGGGCGUCCCUGCCGCCUCCCACCUCUCGUGA